ensembl:lncRNA novel transcript
CAGAGUAUGAUGAUGAAAAUUUAUGAUAAGAGAUAUGCUUCAGUCAGAAAGAUCAAGGAAGUCUUCACACAAGGAAACAUAUCCUAAACCAAGAGCUAAAGAGGGAGCAGAAAGAAGUCAACUAGAGGCCCAUCUCAACUCCACAAAGAUCUGAGACACCUACAGAAGUAAAACAACAUGAACAUAGAUAUCCAGUGCUCCAAAGUUCUGAUUAAACGAGAAGACCCACACCUAAGUGUAUUCGACAAAUGAAUCUAUUUAUUUUCAUUUCUAUUCCAUACGACGCAUACCAGUCUGCAACUAUCUUUACAAUCAUAUCCUGUGAAGAAUACCUGAAGGUGCCUUUCUGAUUGACUUCUUCAAUCUAUAUGCAGAUUUGUGCUAAGCCAGUAAAUAAUUUGUAAC